CUACUACUACCACCACUACUACUACUACUACUACUAAUGCCACUACUACUACUACUACUACUACCACCUUUAUUCCUUGUUUAUAUAUUUAGAAUGACAAAAAAAACUCACCAUUUGUUAUUACUGUUACCCCUGUCAUUACUAACUACUACUACUAUUAUUAUUUUACUAUUAUUACUAUUACUACCAUUGCCAUUACUGCUACUACUACUACCUCUACCACUUCCGUCCCUGCCAUUACAUUACUACUACUACUACUACUGCUAUUAUUAUUAUUAUUUUACUGUUAUUACUGCUACUACCUCUACCACUUCUAUCCCUGCCAUUACAUCUACUACUAUUACUACACCACUGCUGCUGCUGCUACCACCCAAAGUAAAAUCACUCCUGGACAAUGAUAAACUGAUAUUACAAAAACAAAUAAAAAGAACACUAGGGAAGAUAGGCUCGUAUUAUAAGACAUUCCACCGCCCAAGAACACGUACUUGACAAGGCUUUCGUGGGAGUUUUGAGCAUUUCCAGGAGUAGUUUUAUGACCCUGGUGGUAGUCUGACCCUUCUUCUAUACCGUGAGCCUAAAGAAACACUCAUUAGAACCCGCCUGACCCCUCCUUUGACCUUUAGAAAUAGAUGAUGUGAAAAGCGAGUGCCUUAUAAUACCAACCAUAGAGUUUACAGUUGACAAGAGUGGAAGAGACUCGGCCCAUCCAACUCCAUAAGAGAAAAUAAGGAUGCCUAACAAGGAGCAAAAGAAUAAAAAGAUAAAUAUUCACAACCAUACCUAUGCACAAACACUUACAAAUUCAUGAAGUCUCAACCCACUGUUAUAAGUAUCCACAGACGAGAGGAAGUACCCAGACUACCUUGUCUUACCUUAGUUAUGCUGAGUACAAUGGGGUUAAGCUGAGGAGAGGCAGGGAAGCAUAACCUCUCCCUAUGAUACCUCAGGGAAGACUGCUCACUGGCUAGUCUAUUCCUGCCUCCCUUCCUCAGAUCAGAAGUUUCAUGCACAGCUGGUUCGCAUAGAAUAAAAAUGACACCAAAAGUUUAUCUAAACAAAACCUAAACAAAAUAAUUAGAUGCAAGAAAAUAAUGAAAAGUAUAAUUUGUGUCCAUAAAACAGUUCAGCUUUGGAAAUGAAUUCAAAAUUGUAUCUUGAAACCAAAACUUGGCUCCUUAUGAAACAGCUCAGCAGGGAAAUGAUGUCAGGAAAGAGAUUUGACAAUAUGAAGUAAAUUAUGGAAGGGGUCAGAAAAACAUAUGACCAAUUAGUGAGAUUUGAAAAUAGAAUGAACAGCAAAAAAUUAUCUGCCAAACUAGCCACAUUACUGUUGAUGAAUAUUAAUACAACGUUUGCAAAAUAUAUAGAGAGGACAAGAACACACAGACGAUGCAGUGACUGACGGCUCGUCUGGUAACACAUACACACCCAAGCCAUCAGUCUCACAUCACUGGCAACUCAAGUAAGGUUUAGUUAUUACAAUUUUAUUUACAAAACUUGUAUAAAACAGUCGCUGCCUCGCUGAUGACCAAAGAGUCUCGCGGGCAGCUGGAACACAAGUCUUUCAUGGUCAACUCCUUUGUUUUCUUUUGUUCUGCAGCAAGAGAUACACCUACUAUCACAAUGACCUUAGCAGCGAAACUUAGCGAGAAUGGAAUGGUGGAGGAGGAGGAGGAGGAGGACGCCACAGAGACCAACAACCAGUGACGCAGCGAACGAUGAGCCCACUGGAGUGACAAGGCCGCAAGCACCACCAAGGCAAAGAUGCUGAUUGUGCUGGCAACAGGUUACAUGAUGUCCUCUAACUUGGAGUGUGAUGUGAGUUGAAAACAUUAUCCAACAGCUUUUGUGCCUCUGCCUAGCUGUAUUUCCUACUCUUAUGCUACGACCAAGAAGAAAGAACGCUGAUUUUAGAGUAAUGUGUUCAAGCAGGUGUGAUGUGAGGUAAAAAUAUUAUCCAACAGCCUUUGUUUAGCCGUAUUUCCCUCUCUUAUUUAAUGGCAAAAGUUAGAACACUGAUUUUAGAGUAACAAAGUUCAUUCACAUGUCCUCUCUCGUGGAAAUGAGACGUGAGGUAAAAUGAUGAUCUGAUAGCCUUCCUUUUUCUUUACUUCCUUUAAUCUCACCACAAAGGAGACAUUAUAGUCUUUGCUAAUAAGGUAACAGUGUGAAGCGAGUGUCCUGUCUUGUGGAAGUGUGAUAUGAGGUACAACUGUGAUUAUCUAACAGCCUUCCUUCUGCUGUAUUUCCUUCUUUUAUCUCACAACAAAGAUGACAUUAUAAUCUUUGCUCGUAAGGUAACAGGUUCAAGAAUGCGUCUUGUCUUGUGGAAGUGUGACACGAGGCUUUAGGAUUAUUCAAAAAGGUCCAGUAGCUUUUAGGAUGUAUAGACAAAACGAACUUAAAUAAUAGCUUUCUCGUCCUUAUUAAUUGGUGCUUGCGAUCUUGUGAUUCUGAAGGGCUCAUUCAUAGUCACUGCCAGCCACCUUGUCCUUUAAGCCACACCCUCUUCCUGGACUUGUCUCUCAUUUUCUCAAGUUUAUUUUAGUUUGCGAUAGAAAAAAAAUAUCCAAACCAUGAAUUGAUCAGGCUUAUUAUUAAAAAAUGUCAACAUUGAACUACGUAAUCUUAUGACUUUACGAAUAAUCUGGUGUUUAUCAUUUUAGUCUGCGAUAGUAAAAAAAAAAUCUGACCCACUGAACUGAUCUUUUAAGUUUGUGAUUCUAGUAUGUGAUAAGAUAUACAUAUGAACAGUGAAUCAAUCUUAUGAACUUAGGAAUAACCUGGCCUUUAUUAUUUCAGUUUGCAGUUGAAAAAUAAUAUCUGAACUUUGAAUUUAUCUUUUCAUGCUAGGGACGAGGAGAUGUUUAUACUGAAGUUCCCAGCAGAAUCAGUGACCACCGCUGCUCUGGGUCGAGGGUGAAGGGAAGGGCGAGGAAUAAUGGAUUAGCUGGCUGGCGGUGACUACGGUAACUUGACGCAUUCUCGACAUGGUGAUAGGCAUAAGUUGUGGCGUUCUGGUUGAUGUUGUUGAAGAUCAAUCCUUGACUAAAUAUAAAUGCGGAUUGUCGAAAAUAAAAUUGUGGGACCAAAUGAUUGAUUGAGUUUAAUGACGUGACCUGUGCUUGUGUUUAAAUCAUACAAGGAAUAGUUGGACUUGUUUUUGAUAAUAGCCGAUUCUAACCGUCAAUAUAUGCUGAUUGUCAAAAAUAAAAUCAUGGGACCAAAUCACUGACUGUGGGUGUGAUUAUGUGACCUGUUUUUGUGUCUGAAUCAUAUGAGGUCAAUUUGGUUUGUUGAUGUUGUUAAUACCCGAUUCUAACCGUUAAUAUAUGCUGAUUGUCGAAAAUAAAAUCGUGGGACCAAAUCAUUGACUGUGGGUGUGAUUGUGACCCGUUUUUGUGUCUGAAUCGUACGAGGUCAAUUUGGUUUUGUUGAUGUUGUUGAUAAUACCCGAUUCUAUCAUCAAUAAGUUCUGAUUGUUGAAAAUAAAAUCAUGAGACCAAAUCACUGACUGUGUGUAAUAAUGUGACCUGUCUUUGUGUCUGAAUCGUACGAGGUCAAUUUGGUUCUGUUGAUGUUGAUGAUAUAGCCGAUUCUAAAUGUCAAUAAAUGCUGAUUGUCGAAAGUAAAAUAAAUAAAACCGUGAAAUGAAAUGACUGACUGUGGGUGUAAUAAUGUGACCUCUAUUUUUUUCUGAAUCAUACAAGAUCAAUUUGGUUUUGUUGAGGUUGUUGAUAAAAGCCGAUUCUAAAAGUACCGCUGAUUGUCAAAAAUAAGAUCUUGGAACCAAAUGAGUGACUAGGUGUAAUAAUGUGACCUGUCUUUGUGUCUGAAUCAUACGAGGUCAAUGUGAUCUUGUUGUUGAUACUGGCCGAUUCUAAAUGUAAAUAAAUGGUGAUUGUCGAAACUAAAAUCAUGGAACCAAAUGAGUGACUAGGCGUAAUUAUGUGACCUGUCUUUGUGUCUGAAUCAUACGAGGUCAAUGUGAUCUUGUCGUUGAUAAUGGCCGAUUCUGAACGUAAAUAAAUGCUGAUUGUCGAAAAUAAAAUCAUGGAACCAAAUGAGUGACUAGUGCAAUUAUGUGACCUGUCUUGUGUCUGAAUUAUACGAGGUCAGUUUGAUCUUGUCGUUGAUAAUGGCUGAUUCUAAAUGUAAAUAAAUGUGGAUUCUCAAAACUAAAAUCAUGGAACCAAAUGAGUGACUGUGGGUGUAAUUAUGUGACCUGUCUUUGUGUCUGAAUCAUGGCAGAGAAAUUCAGUCUCGUUGAUAAAAAGCUAAUUCUUAACUAAAAUAAAUGCCGAUUGUCAAGGAUAAGACUGUGGGACCAAAUGACCGACUCCGGAUGCAGUGAUUCUACACAUAUUGAUCUGCUUUUUGCCUUUUUCCUGCAAUGGAAAUUUGGUCUUCGUGGUGUUGGUAAUGAAUGAUUCUUAACAUAAAUAAAUGCUGACUGCCAAGCGUAAGAUCAUGGGACCCAAUUACUGAAUGAAGAUGUAAUUAUUAUGCAUAGAUUUACUUUACGUCAGAGUUGUACAAGAAAAAUCUAGUCUUGUUGUUGGUAAUGAAUGAUUCUUGAUGUAAAUAAGUGCUGAUUGCUAACAGAAAGAUCAGGAGACCCAAUUACUGAAUGAGGAUAUAAUUGUUAUGCAUAGAUUUGCUUUAUGUCUGAGUUGUAUAAGAAAAAUCUAGUCUUGUUGUUGGUAAUGAAUGAUUCUCGAUGUAAAUAAGUGCUGAUUGCCAAAAGAAAGAUCAUGGGACCCAAUUACUGAAUGAGAUGUAAUUAUUAUGCAUAGAUUUGCUUUAUGUCUGAGUUGUAUAAGAAAAAUCUAGUCUUGUUAGUAAUGAAUGAUUCUUGACGUAAAUAAAUGCAGAUUGCCAA